GCCCGACUAGCUCAGUUGGUAGAGCAAGACUCUUACUCUCAGGGUCGUAGGUUCGAGCCCCACGUUGGGCC
rnacentral:tRNA from 1 species